AUUAAUUUGAGAGUUUGAUCCUGGCUCAGGACGAACGCUGGCGGCGUGCCUAAUACAUGCAAGUCGAACGAACUCUGGUAUUGAUUGGUGCUUGCAUCAUGAUUUACAUUUGAGUGAGUGGCGAACUGGUGAGUAACACGUGGGAAACCUGCCCAGAAGCGGGGGAUAACACCUGGAAACAGAUGCUAAUACCGCAUAACAACUUGGACCGCAUGGUCCGAGCUUGAAAGAUGGCUUCGGCUAUCACUUUUGGAUGGUCCCGCGGCGUAUUAGCUAGAUGGUGGGGUAACGGCUCACCAUGGCAAUGAUACGUAGCCGACCUGAGAGGGUAAUCGGCCACAUUGGGACUGAGACACGGCCCAAACUCCUACGGGAGGCAGCAGUAGGGAAUCUUCCACAAUGGACGAAAGUCUGAUGGAGCAACGCCGCGUGAGUGAAGAAGGGUUUCGGCUCGUAAAACUCUGUUGUUAAAGAAGAACAUAUCUGAGAGUAACUGUUCAGGUAUUGACGGUAUUUAACCAGAAAGCCACGGCUAACUACGUGCCAGCAGCCGCGGUAAUACGUAGGUGGCAAGCGUUGUCCGGAUUUAUUGGGCGUAAAGCGAGCGCAGGCGGUUUUUUAAGUCUGAUGUGAAAGCCUUCGGCUCAACCGAAGAAGUGCAUCGGAAACUGGGAAACUUGAGUGCAGAAGAGGACAGUGGAACUCCAUGUGUAGCGGUGAAAUGCGUAGAUAUAUGGAAGAACACCAGUGGCGAAGGCGGCUGUCUGGUCUGUAACUGACGCUGAGGCUCGAAAGUAUGGGUAGCAAACAGGAUUAGAUACCCUGGUAGUCCAUACCGUAAACGAUGAAUGCUAAGUGUUGGAGGGUUUCCGCCCUUCAGUGCUGCAGCUAACGCAUUAAGCAUUCCGCCUGGGGAGUACGGCCGCAAGGCUGAAACUCAAAGGAAUUGACGGGGGCCCGCACAAGCGGUGGAGCAUGUGGUUUAAUUCGAAGCUACGCGAAGAACCUUACCAGGUCUUGACAUACUAUGCAAAUCUAGAGAUUAGACGUUCCCUUUCGGGGACAUGGAUACAGGUGGUGCAUGGUUGUCGUCAGCUCGUGUCGUGAGAUUGUGGGUAAGUCCCGCAACGAGCGCACCCUAUAUCAGUGCCAGCAUUAAGUGGGCACCUCUGUGAGACUGCGGUGACAACGAGGAGUUGGAUGACGUCAAAUCAUCAUGCCUAUGACUGACCUACACUGCUACAUGAUGAUACACGAGUUGCGUACUCGCGGGAGAGAUAAGGCUAAUCUGCCAUUCUCAGUUCGGAUUGUAGGCUGCAGCUCGCCUACAUGAAGUCGGAAUCGCUAGUAAUCGCGGAUCACCAUGCCGCGGUGAAUACGUUCCCGGGCCUUGUACACGCCGCCCGUCACACCAUGAGAGUUUGUAACACCCAAAGUCGGUGGGGUAACCUUUUAGGAACCAGCCGCCUAAGGUGGGACAGAUGAUUAGGGUGAAGUCGUAACAAGGUAGCCGUAGGAGAA
rnacentral:rRNA from 2 species